GUAGGGAAUAUUGCGCAAUGGGGGAAACCCUGACGCAGCGACGCCGCGUGAGUGAUGAAGGCCUUCGGGUCGUAAAGCUCUGUUGCAGGGGAAUAAAAAUAUGAAGGUACCCUGUGAGGAAGGAUCGGCUAACUUCGUGCCAGCAGCCGCGGUAAGACGAGGGAUCCUAGCGUUGCUCGGAAUCAUUGGGCGUAAAGAGGGCGUAGGUGGCUUGGUAAGUCAGGUGUGAAAGCCCAGGGCUCAACCCUGGAAGUGCAUUUGAUACUGCUGAGCUUGAGUGUCGGAGCGGUUACCGGAAUACCUGGUGUAGUGGUGAAAUACGUAGAUAUCAGGUGGAACACCGGAGGCGAAGGCGGGUAACUGGACGAACACUGACACUGAGGCCCGAAAGCGUGGGGAUCAAACAGGAUUAGAAACCCCGGUAGUCC
rnacentral:rRNA from 1 species